GGCUGGCACAAUGGUAGUGGGUCAUCAGAGCUUACCAACAUUAGUGUCGCUAAAAUUGGCAUUCAACCUCCCACUGCUAAACUUGAGUGGCUUUAA
rnacentral:Y_RNA from 1 species